CAGAUGCUAAUACCGAAUAAACUUCGUAUCGCAUGAUACAAGGUUAAAAGGCGCUACGGCGUCACCUAGAGAUGGAUCCGCGGUGCAUUAGUUAGUUGGUGGGGUAAAGGCCUACCAAGACAAUGAUGCAUAGCCGAGUUGAGAGACUGAUCGGCCACAUUGGGACUGAGACACGGCCCAAACUCCUACGGGAGGCUCCAGUAGGGAAUCUUCCACAAUGGGCGAAAGCCUGAUGGAGCAACGCCGCGUGUGUGAUGAAGGCUUUCGGGUCGUAAAGCACUGUUGUAUGGGAAGAACAGCUAGAGUAGGGAAUGACUUUAGUUUGACGGUACCAUACCAGAAAGGGACGGCUAAAUACGUG
rnacentral:rRNA from 1 species